GCCAAACCAAGAAAUAGAUUCUUAACUACAGAGUAAAAUUCCCUCUUAGAACCUCUUUUGCUGCAUCUCAAAGAUUUUGGACCAGUAUUUUCAUUUUCAUUUGUCUCCAUGUAUUUUUUAAAAAUAUUUUAUUUAUUCAUGAGACACACACACACACACACACACAAAGAAGCAGAGACACAGGCAGAGGGAGAAGCAGGCUGCAAGCAGGGAGCCCGAUGUGGAACUCGAUUCCAGGACUCUAGGAUCAAGCCCUGAGCCAAAGGCAGACGCUCAACUGUUGAGCCACCAAGGUGUCCCUCCAUGUAUUUUUUGAUUUCCCCUUUGAUUUCUUGGUUGACCCAUUCAUUGUUUAGUAGCAUGUUAUUUAACCUCCAUGUAUGUAUUUUCUUUCCAGAUUUUGCUUGUGCUUGUUUUCUAGUUUCAUGGUGGUGUAGUUGGAAAGGAUGCAUGACUUUUCAAUUUUGAAUUUGUCGGGACUUGUUUUGUGGACCAGCAUGUGAUCUCUUCUGGAGAAUGUUCCACAUGCAGUUGAAAAGAAUGUGUAUUCCACUGUUUUAGGAUGUGAUGUUCUGAAUCUCUCUCUUAGCUCCAUCUAGUCCAAUGCAUUAUUCAAAGCCACUGAUUCCUUGUUGAUUUUCUGUUUGGAAGAUCUAUCCAUCGAUGUAAAUGGGGUGUUAAAGUUCCUUACUAUUAUUGUAUUACUAUUAAUGAUCUUUUUUAUAUUUAUUAUCAGCAGCUUUAUGUCUUUGGAUGCUUUCAUGUUGGGUGUAUAAAUAUUUACAAUUGUUACAUCUUAUUGUUGGAUUGUUCCCUUUAUGUGGUGUCCUUCCUUGUUUCUUGUUACAGUCUUUGUUUUAAAGUCUAUUUUGUCUGAUAGAAGUAUUGCUAACCUGGUUUUUUUUUUUUUUUAAGAUUUAUUUAUUUAUUUAUUCAGAGAGAGCGAGAGAGAGGCAGAGACACAGGCAGAGGGAGAAGCAGGCCAUGCAGGAAGCCCGACGUGGGACUUGAUCCUGGGUCUCCAGGAUCACACCCUGGGCUGCAGGUGGCGCUAAACCGCUGCGCCACUGGGGCUGCCCUAACCUGGUUUUCUUUUCACUUCCAUUUGCUUGAUAAAUGUUUUCCAAACCUUUUACUUUCAAAGUGUAAGUAUGUUUAGGUCUGAAAUGAGUCUCUUAUAGACAGCAUAUAGGUAGGCCUUUUAAAAAGUAAGUUACUUCUAUUUAUUUAAGUAGUUUCUACACUCAACAUGGGGUUCGAUCUCGCUUUUUUAAUCCAUUCUAUGACCCUAUGUCUUUUGAUUGGAGCAUUUAGUCCAUUUACAUUCAAAGUAAUU
rnacentral:lncRNA from 1 species